rnacentral:rRNA from 1 species
UUCCAGUACACUAACUAUGUUACGACUUACCUCUUCUUUUGAAGAGGGUGACGGGCGAUAUGUACACCUAAAUUCAAUUUCGUUCUAAAUUUUUAUUAUAAAACUACUUCCAAAUCCUCUUUCGUUUUUUCUUUAGAAAAAAGUCCUUGAAUAAUAUUUAUGAGUAAUUAGUUUAGUCUUCAUCAAAAUCUUCACCUUGACCUGACUUGUUAAUAUUUAUUUAGACAGCGAAUGAAAACUCUGUCUUUAGACGGCGGUAUAAAAGAAAUGAAAAGAAGAGAAAAUAAACGGGAAGAAUCGAAAAAACAAAUUC